GCCCCCAUCGUCUAGUGGACCAGGACGCCGGCCUCUCACGCCGGAAACAGGGGUUCGAACCCCCUUGGGGGCGCCA
rnacentral:tRNA from 1 species